GAGUGCUUGCACUCAAUUGGAAAGAGGAGUGGCGGACGGGUGAGUAACACGUGGGUAACCUACCCAUCAGAGGGGGAUAACACUUGGAAACAGGUGCUAAUACCGCAUAACAGUUUAUGCCGCAUGGCAUAAGAGUGAAAGGCGCUUUCGGGUGUCGCUGACGGAUGGACCCGCGGUGCAUUAGCUAGUUGGUGAGGUAACGGCUCACCAAGGCCACGAUGCAUAGCCGACCUGAGAGGGUGAUCGGCCACACUGGGACUGAGACACGGCCCAGACUCCUACGGGAGGCAGCAGUAGGGAAUCUUCGGCAAUGGACGAAAGUCUGACCGAGCAACGCCGCGUGAGUGAAGAAGG
rnacentral:rRNA from 1 species